rnacentral:lncRNA from 1 species
CAGGUGUCCAAUGACUAAAGGAUGCUGCUGAGUGAGUCAGUCUGUGAGUGAGCAAGUGAAAGAUGGAGGGAGGGAGGAGGUGGGUGCAUAAAUAAGAAAUGAGCUGAUAGACUAGCUGCCUAACUGGCCAGUUCACUGAACAACUGACUAGCUGGCUGGUUGAGUGUUUGAUCAACUGAUACAUCGACUGUUUGGCUGGCUGGCUGGCAACUAAUUUAGAAAAGCAAGUCCUGGUAUAGUAGAAGAAAGAAAGCCCUGUAGAGGGUGGAGUCUCAAGCUGUAGCCCAGGUUGGAGUAUAGUGUCAUGAUCUUGGCUCACUGCAACCUCUACCUCCCAGAUUCAAGCGAUUCUCCUGCCUCAGCUUCCUGAGUAGCUGGGACCACAGGUAUGCACCCCCACAUCCAGUUAAUUU